CAGUCUCCGCGGUAAUACGUAUGUCACAAGCGUUAUCCGGAUUUAUUGGGCGUAAAGCGCGUCUAGGUGGUUAUGUAAGUCUGAUGUGAAAAUGCAGGGCUCAACUCUGUAUUGCGUUGGAAACUGUGUAACUAGAGUACUGGAGAGGUAAGCGGAACUACAAGUGUAGAGGUGAAAUUCGUAGAUAUUUGUAGGAAUGCCGAUGGGGAAGCCAGCUUACUGGACAGAUACUGACGCUAAAGCGCGAAAGCGUGGGUAGCAAACAGGAUUAGAUACCCCUGUAGUCCCUGUCUCUUAUACA
rnacentral:rRNA from 1 species